CCUCAGGUUGGUCCCCUACCCUUAGGUUAGUCCCCUACCCUCAGGUUUGUCCCCUACCCUCAGGUUAGGCCCCAUACCCUCAGGUUGGUCCCCUACCCUCAGGUUGGUCCCCUACCCUCAGGUUGGUCCCCUACCCUCAGGUUGGUCCCCUACCCUCAGGUUAGGCCCCAUACCCUCAGGUUGGUCCCCUACCCUCAGGUUGGUCCCCUACCCUCAGGUUAGUCCCCUACCCUCAGGUUAGUCCCCUACCCUCAGGUUGGUCUUCACCCAGGUUUUCAUAUUUUGCAGUGAAUGUUCUCGUUAAUACAUUCAGCAGAGGACACAGGAGUCGGAGCCCUGUUACCGUUGCAACACCGGUUACCGUGAUGACAUCACAGUUG